rnacentral:rRNA from 1 species
UACAGAGGUCCCAAGCGUUGUUCGGAUUCAUUGGGCGUAAAGGGUGCGUAGGUGGCGCCGUAAGUCAGGUGUGAAAUCUCGGGGCUUAACUCCGAAACUGCAUUUGAUACUGCGGUGCUUGAGGACUGGAGAGGAGACUGGAAUUUACGGUGUAGCAGUGAAAUGCGUAGAGAUCGUAAGGAAGACCAGUGGCGAAGGCGGGUCUCUGGACAGUUCCUGACACUGAGGCACGAAGGCCAGGGGAGCAAACGGG